rnacentral:rRNA from 1 species
CCUACGGGUGGCAGCAGUGGGGAAUAUUGGGCAAUGGGCGCAAGCCUGACCCAGCAACGCCGCGUGAAGGAAGAAGGCUUUCGGGUUGUAAACUUCUUUUCUCAGGGACGAAGCAAGUGACGGUACCUGAGGAAUAAGCCACGGCUAACUACGUGCCAGCAGCCGCGGUAAUACGUAGGUGGCAAGCGUUAUCCGGAUUUACUGGGUGUAAAGGGCGUGUAGGCGGGACUGCAAGUCAGAUGUGAAAACCAUGGGCUCAACCUAUAGCCUGCAUUUGAAACUGUAGUUCUUGAGUACUGGUGAGGCAGACGGAAUUCCUAGUGUAGCGGUGAAAUGCGUAGAUAUUAGGAGGAACACCAGUGGCGAAGGCAGUCUGCUAGACAGCAACUGACGCUGAGGCGCGAAAGCGUGGGGAGCAAACAGGAUUAGAUACCCCAGUAGUC